ACUCAGAGGUGAAGUUGCUGGAUCACAUGUUAAUAGUGAUCCUGGGUUUCCUUUUUUUGAGGAGCUGCCAUACUGUUUUUCUACGCCAGCUGCACCAUUUUACCUUCCCACUAGCCACGUGCAAGGCUUCCAGGUUCUCCACAUCCUUGUCAACCGUUGUGAUUUUCUGUUUUGUGUUUGUUUGUUUGUUUGUUUGUUUGUUUUGGAAAUAGCCAUCCUGAUAGGUGUGAAAUUGUGUCUCAUUGUGGUUUUGAUUGGCAUUUCCCUAAUGAUUAAUCAAACUACCUUUUGUUUUGCCAGACUUGACAUCUAACCUACUUUUUGUAUCUGGAAUUAGGAUAAAACUCCUUUGUUAGAAAACAUAUGGAUUUUUGGUUAAAAAGAUAAGCACCAUCAAAAUCCACCUGAGGGAUGGCUGAAUUACUAGAGUCUGUGUGUUGAGUCUUCAGGGUAUGUGGUAGGUGAAGGCUCUGGUCUGAGGCCUAGCAGGCCCAGCUCAAGGCAUGUGCACAGGGAACAUUGUAACCCCUCCCCAUCUCAAGGCACAGUGAAAUCCACUGCAAAUACAAUGGCUAGUGCCUUUUUACUAUGGGGGAAAAUUUGACAUUCAUUUCCAAGAGGUGCCAUCUUUCAUCUCAAUGUGUUUCAUGGGUCAUGUGAUCUCCGAUUACUAAGGUGACACUUAGGACAAUUUUAUGGCAAAUUGAGUCCCAAAUUACAGCCCCUGAAGGGGUACGCAUUAAUAAUGGCCUGUAAGAGCAUCAGUAGGGGGCCUGAGCCAGGUUCCAGUGCAAUCAGAUGCAGUCACUAAUGCAGCAUUUCAGCAAGACCAAGAGGAAUGUAUUGUUAAAGACACACGUGCUGAUCUUCUCUUUUCAAGAAAGGAGUACUCAAAUUAUCAUAGACACCCACUGGAUUGUAGAAUAAUGAAGACAGAAUUAUUUUUGCAUGAAUUGGGAUUUCCUUGUGGCUGAGUUAAGCAGCAUGACCCACUGUGAGUGAAUUGGAUGACUUUUCUUUCUAAGCAUCAACCACUUUGUUUUAUUUCUCCUUUAGGCAUUUCUAGGCAUUUUACUUUUCCGAUGUGAGGAGUCAAUGCCUCUAGCACAAGACAAUGUGAGAAAGCCUGGCUGGGUCAUUAAUAAGCAAAACCUGGGAAAAAAAAGAAAAACAGCAUCACCCAUAGAAUACUUUUCGUCCUGAGAGAUUUCACAAUUGGAAUGCAUCUGUGUGUGGUAAUGUGCUGAGUUUUAUAAGAUGCUAUCAAGGCAGGUUUUCCUACCUUUUGAGAAUCUACUCUAGAAACCAGAUAUUGAUGUUGAUGUUCGUGUGGCUGCACAUGCAUGUAUGAUCAUGAAUGUGAAUAAAAAUAAGAGUUAGACAAGAAAAUGGUGUUCUCUCAAGUGACAAGCAACAUGACCCUAGGAUUUAGGUAGCUUCUCCAUACAUUUAAUAUUAAAUGGUUACUGGAUUCUUAUUAGCUUUCAGGAACAUUGACUGAUCACACUGCAAAUAUGUGUAAAAACCAUUCUCUGAGAUUUUACUCUGUUGAGUUUGUACUUUCUAUAUGUGGA
rnacentral:lncRNA from 10 species